GCGGCUGUCAUACAACGGUAGUACCCAAGCUUCCCAAGCUUGUGACGCGGGUUCGACUCCCGUCAGCCGCU
rnacentral:tRNA from 2 species